rnacentral:lncRNA from 1 species
GGUGCUCACUGCCUUUGUGUUCCAUCGGAACUCUGAAAUUGAUUAAGUUCGUGCGAGAGCAAUCCCAUGAUGGGUGACCCACUGGGAAGCUCUCGUGUGAGUUCCCAGAAACAAAAUGGUGAGGGCAUGGUCGGGGCCCAAAGCGGACAAUAUUGUGCUAUGGUGGAGUCGAGUUCGGGAUGUGGUGGGAGCAUGGGCCGGGAUGUGACAUGUAAUGCUUAUUUCUUCUAGAAACUUAUGUUGCUCUUCGCCAUGGCGUAUUGCCCAAACUUCUUACAAAAUGAAGUUGAAAUAGGCUUAUGAAGGACUUUUGAUUGACUCUUAUUGGCCCUUUGGUGCAGGUUGUUAUGGACAUUCUACACUUUCUAAAAAGUGUGUUCAUUUUGCACCGCAAAAAGGGAAGCAAGAAAAAUAAUAUGUACAAUGCUUUAUGGAACUCCACUCCAAAGAAAUUAUUUAUAUAUAUAAGUGGUACAAUUCCUGUCAUAAAAAUUAUUAUACCUCCGUAUCUUUUUUUUUUCCAUUUUUUUUCUUUGGUCUGAAUAACCAAAACUAGAAUAUUGGUUGAAUGAUUUGAAACUUAUCAUUGACGCAACUGCAACUCAUUAACAUUAUAUUCGGGCUUGUGAGGUAUGAGUAUUGUACCAUACACAGUAGCGUGCGAUAUAAUACUAAUUUGUGCUAAAAUGAGUUUACCAAGAAACGUGUGCUCAUUUACUUAAUCUAUUGGACUUCAACAAUUCUUCACUUCUUAACAAAUUCAUCUUUUACUCCACAUUUAUAUUUUAAAAUAGUAGGAAUAAUGAUGACGAGAAAUACGUUUGUCCAUUUACGUUCGGUUAUUGCAGCUACACUGCAUAUUCAUUUGGAUCUUGUAAGCCUUAUAUGUAUAUUCCCAACGCUACCUAGCACGAGGGCUUUUGGGAGAUCACUGCCUCCGGGUUCCAUC